rnacentral:rRNA from 1 species
AUUGAACGCUGGCGGCAUGCCUAACACAUGCAAGUCGAACGAAUGGCGGACGGGUGAGUAAUGUCUGGGACACUGCCUGCAGGAGGGGGAUACCUACUGGAAACGGUAGCUAAUACCGCAUACACUCGGAUGUGCCCCGAUGGGCUUAGCGAGUAGGUGGGGUAACGGCUCACCUAGGCGACGCUCCCUAGCUGGUCUGAGAGGAUGACCAGCCACACUGGACCUGAGACACGGUCCAGACUCCUACGGGAUGCAGCAGUGGGGAAUAUUGCACAAUGGGCGCAAGCCGGAUGCAGCCAUGCCGCGUGUGUGAAGAAGGCCUUCGGGGUGUAAAGUACUUUCAGCGAGGAGGCGUUACUCGCAGAAGAAGCACCGGCUAACUCCGUGCCAGCAGCCGCGGUAAUUC